GACGAACGCUGGCGGCGUGCCUAACACAUGCAAGUCGAACGGCAGCACGGGUGCUUGCACCUGGUGGCGAGUGGCGAACGGGUGAGUAAUACAUCGGAACGUACCUUAUCGUGGGGGAUAACGCGGCGAAAGUUGCGCUAAUACCGCAUACGCCCUGAGGGGGAAAGCGGGGGACCGUAAGGCCUCGCGCGAUUAGAGCGGCCGAUGUCUGAUUAGCUUGUUGGUGAGGUAAAAGCUCACCAAGGCGAUGAUCAGUAGCUGGUCUGAGAGGACGAUCAGCAACAGUGGGACGGGGACACGGCCCAGACUCCUACGGGGGGAAGCAGUGGGGAAUUUUGGACAAGGGGGGCAACCCUGAUCCAGCAAGGCGGCGUGAGGGAAGAAGGCCUUCGGGUUGUAAAGCUCUUUUGUCAGGGAAGAAACAGCAGCUCUAACACAGUCUGCGAAUGACGGUACCUGAAGAAUAAGCACCGGCUAACUACGUGCCAGCCGCCGCCGUAA
rnacentral:rRNA from 1 species